GUGCUCACUUCCCACAGCACAUAGGCUAAAACAGGGACAAUACAGAGAAGACUUGGCAUGCCCCUGAUGUAAAGAUGACACACAAAUUCAUGAAGUGUUCUGUGUCUUU
ensembl:snRNA U6 U6 spliceosomal RNA